AUUGAACGCUGGCGGCAGGCCUAACACAUGCAAGUCGAGCGGAUGAAGGGAGCUUGCUCCUGGAUUCAGCGGCGGACGGGUGAGUAAUGCCUAGGAAUCUGCCUGGUAGUGGGGGAUAACGUCCGGAAACGGGCGCUAAUACCGCAUACGUCCUGAGGGGGAAAGUGGGGGUUCUUCGGACCUCACGCAUCCAGAUGAGCCUAGGUCGGAUUAGCUAGUUGGUGGGGUAAAGGCCUACCAAGGCGACGAUCCGUAACUGGUCUGAGAGGAUGAUCAGUCACACUGGAACUGAGACACGGUCCAGACUCCUACGGGAGGCAGCAGUGGGGAAUAUUGGACAAUGGGCGAAAGCCUGAUCCAGCCAUGCCGCGUGUGUGAAGAAGGUCUUCGGAUUGUAAAGCACUUUAAGUUGGGAGGAAGGGCAGUAAGUUAAUACCUUGCUGUUUUGACGUUACCAACAGAAUAAGCACCGGCUAACUUCGUG
rnacentral:rRNA from 1 species